rnacentral:rRNA from 1 species
GACGAACGCUGGCGGCGUGCUUAACACAUGCAAGUCGAACGGAAAGGCCCUGCUCUUGUGGGGUGCUCGAGUGGCGAACGGGUGAGUAACACGUGAGUAACCUGCCCUUGACUUUGGGAUAACUUCAGGAAACUGGGGCUAAUACCGGAUAGGAGCUCCUGCUGCAUGGUGGGGGUUGGAAAGUUUCGGCGGUUGGGGAUGGACUCGCGGCUUAUCAGCUUGUUGGUGGGGUAGUGGCUUACCAAGGCUUUGACGGGUAGCCGGCCUGAGAGGGUGACCGGCCACAUUGGGACUGAGAUACGGCCCAGACUCCUACGGGAGGCAGCAGUGGGGAAUAUUGCACAAUGGGCGGAAGCCUGAUGCAGCAACGCCGCGUGCGGGAUGACGGCCUUCGGGUUGUAAACCGCUUUCGCCUGUGACGAAGCGUGGGUGACGGUAAUGGGUAAAGAAGCACCGGCUAACUACGUG